rnacentral:rRNA from 1 species
CGUUGCCUACGGGGGGCAGCAGUGAGGAAUAUUGGUCAAUGGGCGAGAGCCUGAACCAGCCAAGUCGCGUGAAGGAUGACGGCCCUACGGGUUGUAAACUUCUUUUGUCAGGGAGCAAUUGGGUCCACGCGUGGGCUUAGCGAGAGUAACUGAAGAAAAAGCAUCGGCUAACUCCGUGCCAGCAGCCGCGGUAAUACGGAGGAUGCGGGCGUUAUCCGGAUUUAUUGGGUUUAAAGGGUGCGUAGGAGGAAUAUCAAGUCAGCGGAAAAAAUUCGGGGCUCAAC